UACGAAGGGGGCUAGCGUUGUUCGGAAUUACUGGGCGUAAAGCGCACGUAGGCGGAUUUGUAAGUCAGGGGUGAAAUCCCGGGGCUCAACCUCGGAACUGCCUUUGAUACUGCAAGUCUCGAGUCCGGAAGAGGUGAGUGGGAAUUCCUAGUGUAGAGGUGAAAUUCGUAGAUAUUAGGAAGAACACCAGUGGCGAAGGCGGCUCACUGGUCCGGUACUGACGCUGAGGUGCGAAAGCGUGGGGAGCAACAGGG
rnacentral:rRNA from 1 species